rnacentral:lncRNA from 1 species
AUCAAUUACCCAUACUAGGGUUGAGCUACAACCCUAGCUAAUGGGUUUAGCUAGACAUAAUUGAAGAAGAAAUAGAAGAAGAAAUAAAUAUGUUAAUUAAUAACUAAGAGAAACAACAAGAAUCUAUGGAGAAAUUAAUGCUAAAAUGCCAAAAUAGGCUAAAACUUUCGUCCUCACGAGCGUACCUCUAGUCUGUAAAUACAACUUAACCUGAAAAUGAUAAAAUAUUAUAUUUAUAGUGGGCUGGAAAAACUAGAUUAAAUUAUCCCUGUGAGGUCAGUGCGGGCCUCACAAUUAUUGCCGCAGCCGCACUGGCUGUUUGACUUCCAUUUUCAUGCUCUUUGAAGUAUCUGGCGCGGAUCGCGAAAGUGUAGUGGUGGCCGCUUGAAGGUCUGGCGCGGACCGCGUGAAGAUGACCGCGGCCGCAUGGCUUGCCUUUGCCCAUAUCUCAAUCUCUCUGACCCUUGUGACGCAGGCCGCAUGCCAUAAUGGCGCGGCCGCGUGAGCUGAAUGCAGGCCGCACAUCUCCAAGCACGGCCACGUGGUGAAAGGCUUGAUUAUGCUCUUCUCUAAACUCUUCUAGUGCGGCCACGUGAACAAUUGUGCGGUCCGCUCCAGGCUCUUAUUCCAAUAAUUUUCUUGGCCUUUGAUACUUGAGCAGGUUUCACUCCGUUUUGAGCCGAUCUUUGACAUUUGGUUACUUUUUCGCUCAAAUUUGCAAUCAAGCACAACCUGUAAGCAUUUUGGGACUGUUUUUAGCAAAUUAUACUCAAAACAUAGGCAAGUAAGGGAAUAAAAUACGUUAUAAUCCUACUUAUAGUUGAUUUUUUAUGUUUCUCGUUUUUUUUUCUUUUCCUUUAUUCUUCAUUUGCUUCCUUCCUUAAAAAAAUGAAAGAUGUGCUGAAAUGGUGUUUUUGAAGAUUGACUGGUACGAUGGUAAAGGCUGUUUAUGAUGGAGUAGUGAUGGCUGUGGUUUAGCCUUGAGGUAGUAUAUAUGAGUUGUAUAUACACUGAAUAUAUAAAAUUAUUCAAUAAAUAUAUAGUAAAUGGAGUUAUUAGUUUUAACAUAUUCUAAAUAUGUUCAUGCAUUAAAAAAUACAAGUUAAAAUAAUUAUAAACUAUAUAUAGCCAAAUAAUAUAAAUACUAUAUCAAACAUUAUAUACAUCAUAAUGUACUUUCUCAAAGAAUUAUAUAAUAUGCGUAUACCACGAAAUAAUGUUGUAUAUGAUAGUAAUCCACAAGUAUAAUAUAAUCUGUUUACACAAUUAAGUUAUACUAUGAAUAUAAACUAGUAAUAUACUAAUAUAUAGCAUUAUUAUUCAUCAUGUAUUUAAUAAUUAUACAACACAACGAAUUGUUAAAUUUAAUACACUACGUAUAAGUACAAAUAUUAGAGGUAAAAUCAGUUACUUGAAGGUGGAAUGAAGUAAUGUGUAAGUUGAAGACAAAAGUUGGAUUGAAUAGUCAAAAAAAAACGAAAGGAUUUAGGGUGAGAAAAAUUUAUAGCUAUACCAAUAUUCAAAAAAUAGGAGAAAGAGAGGGUUAGAGAUAUCUUAGCAUUGGCAUAAUAAAAGAUACACGACAUUAAAUGGGGGAGGGGGAAUUAUGGGGAAGACUUCAUAUGUGGAUUAUUAUUAAUUACUAGUCCCUGUUUUAAUGGGUUUGGUCCAAAUUUUAUAGGUUUCUGCUAGAAAUGUAGUUAAUCAGCUGCCAUAUUUGCACGGCGGUCCGAUGAAUUUUGUGACCUAAAGUUAAAUUUUAUGAGGGACUUUAACUUUUUAAAUUAUUUUUAUUAUUUAUUUAAAGUCUUUUUUUAGCUUUUCUUAGAUACAAAGUUAUUAAUGAUUUUCUUAUAAUCAAUAACUCCUAAUAAGUAUUUCUCAACUAACAAUAUAGUUAAUCCAUUUAACUUUUCUUGUGACAUUGUUGUUCUUAGGUAAGAUUUAAUCAAUUCUAAUUUUGAAAACUUCUUUCCGUUGAAGCAACAGUAACAUGAGUUAUUAACAUUAUUUCAUAAGAAAUUUAGGCAUUUGAAAAAGAAUUAAAUCUUUUUAUUUGAUUAAAUGUAUCAAUUAAACUGUUCUUCUAAUGGUAUUGUUUUCCUUAACACUUUAAUUCAGAAAAUAAAUUAAAACCAUCAAUAUCGAAGUGAAUAUUAUGCUUUAAGGAACAUUCAAGAUUAAGGUAAAUUUUUUUCAAAUUCCCAACAUCUAGUAAUCUUAAUUUUUACUGCCACAUAAAAAAUCAAAAAUAUUUUCAUAUGCUUUGAAUUGUUCAAAUCUAUUUUGAAGUAAAAAAAUAGCCUUGUCUAUUAUUUAUAAAAGUAAACAACUCUAAAGAACUCUUUGAAUGAUUUUGAGAUUUCAUUAUCAACAUUCGUAUCAAAUUGUUACUUCCUAUAUGUCACACGUUUCUCAGGAAAUUCGGGUUUGAUAUUUAUUUCAGGUGCAAUUUUCAAGGUAGAAAUCAUAGCAGUUGCAAACCUUCUUCUCUAUAUUUGUUAAAGAAGGAAUCAAACUUUGACACUUUACAGAACUUUUUUUAAAACUUAUACAUAGUAUAUUAGAUGUAACAAAAAAUGGGGACUCCACAAUGUUGAUACCCUAUAUUUCCCAACAUAGUUUUUGUACCCAAAAUACUUUCAAAAUAGCAUGUAUGUGCAUAUAUAGUACAACAAAGGGCUUAGUCAUUUUUUAAUAAUUUUUUAAACUAAUUUAUGGCCGAUUUUUAUAUCAUAAAAUACAAUAAUUAUUUUCAAAAUUUUCCAUUUGGGAGAAAAAUUUACUUUAUUCUCAUAUUUACAUCAAAUAUAUAGGUAACAUAAUUUUUGCAUAUUUUUACAAAUUCGCUUGGUAUUUUUAAAACUAAAUUCCAUGUAAUUGCAAUCUUAGCCCACUUUCAAAUUUCAUAGCAUUUUAAUUACAAAAUCAAUUCCAAUAUUUUUUAAAUUAAUGUUUACAUACUAUUUAUUAGCUCAGUGCUUUUAAUUUAAUUUUAAAAUACUUUUACUAUUUUUAUAAUAUCAAAAGGGAAAAUAUGGCUAUUUCAAUUGUGAACUGGAACCUUUUUUGCUUAUGGUUUUGAAACUUUCUAUGCCAGUCUUUUCUUUCUUGUUUGACACAUUUGUGUGCUUUAUAUAUGAGAGCUUUUCUUUCAGAAGGGUUUUGCCAACUUGUGAGUGAUUCCGAAUUCCUUUUAGUAAGGCUUGAUUGAUUGUUACUGAUUUUCCCCAAUUGAACCUUUUCCUCACCCUUUUCCGACUAAGUUCUUUCGAACAAAGCUUUCAAUUUACUAGUUAUUUGAUUGAUCUUCUUUUCUUGUUUUUCACAAAUCAUGUACUAUAGGAUUUUUGCCUUAAAUAAACUCUGUGUACUUAUCACACCUACCCCGAGGGAUAGAUGCGUGAUGGAGUUUUUCCAGUUUAAGUGACGUUGAUUGAAUUGAGAUUAUUUAUUGAUUUAAGAGUCGCCACUUGGGAUAGGUUUGGCUUUUGGGUUCCCAAGUCACCGGUUUAUCUUGAAUCCCAAUUCGAGGAAAAUAUUCGACUUUUCAAGUGAAGUCUGCGAACCAGAAAUUAUAAGGAAUUCUGUUGACUCGAGGGAAGGUGUUAGGCACCCCGGAUCCCGUGGUUCUAGCACGAUCGCUUAAAUUGUUAUAAUUGGCAAAAAUCUGAUUUUAAUACAUGUGAUAACUUACGUGAUUUUAUUAACUUUAGACCGCUUUUAUUAUUAUUUUUAAUAGAAUUGCAACGUCGUGAAAACGCGUCUCGAACCACGUAGUAAUCAAUGCACUGGUAGUUGUCAACACAUUUCGACUCUGUUGAGAUUUGGAUUUGGGUCGCGUGAAAUGCAUACCUGAAUUUAGGAAUGUAAUAUUAUUAAAUAGUGCGCCUAAAGUAACUACGCAUUUUUGACUUUGAGAGGGACAUGAAAAUUUCAACUAAAUGGCACGCCUUGAUUUCUAAGAAUUAAAAAUUAAUUAAGGGCCAUACAAUUAUUAUUUUAUUUGGCACGGCACACCUCAAAUUAUUUUUAAAAUAUUGUACUUAACUAAAGCAAACUACAAAUGUUGAUAAGUUGUUUUUCCCAAAACUACUUUAAAAUUAUUGUGACGCUACAAAUUACAAAAUUUAUAUUGGAUAAUAUGUGUGUGGCUCAGCUAUUAGAACUAUAAGAAUCUCCUACACAAUAAUCUGAAAAACAAACAAAAAAAUUACGUAAGGCGGAAACAUUUGUAAUGGACAGCAAUGCCAAUACAUCUCAAAUUCUAAUAUUGAGAUGAUAGCGACAAUACCGAAAAUCUCACUAGUGUACUACAUAAUCAUUCAACAAAUUGGGCGAUUUGCUUCUGGUUUCGAAUCUUGCCUAACUCGUGUUUGUAGUCUUCUCGACUAGUUCGCGCAAGUCACCCCGUUACAGAUCUUAGUUCAAGAUGUUUUUAUGUUUUUCUCCUUUUUGGCAAGAUCCCGUGUGAAAAGGGGGCGAGGUACCUUAUGCGCUUUUUUCCCAUAGAGAAGGGGGAUCUACUGUUUCCUCUUCUUCUUUCCCUUGCUCGGAGACGCGGAUGUGGAAGUAAGCUCGUCUCGAGGCUUUUGACUUCCUUUGAUCUGACAUGCCGCUUUGGCUUGCUCGAGUUGGGUUGUUUUCUUUCCUUUUUUGGUCUAAGGGUAAACUACACGAUUUUGCUAUGAAAUCCCCACAGACGGCGCCAAAUUUUUUAGCUAAAAGUUCUCAUCCACUUUAUGAGCAUAAAUGAAAUAAAAUCAACGGAGGGCCAAUCAUAGCAGAUCGUAAUAAAUUAAAAGACCAAAUGACUAAAAUGUAAGAGGCAAUAGUUAUGGAUUAAGGGGAGGAGAGUAGAGAUCUUGUAUUAAUAAUACCGAUUUUGUCUGCCUCUCGAUGGAGAGGUUCAGAGCCUUACAAUGAUGUAUAUUCUCUUCUCUUAGAAAUCGAUGUGAAGAAGAAGAAGCAGCCCCCUUUUAGGGUUCUUUCUCUUAAUAUUUAUAGUUGUGGAUCUUGCCAGCUGGCAAUGACGGCCGUGGCUGCAUCGAAGGGACGUCCGUACACGAUGAGUAGGUCGUAGUCUCGCUAACUAAUUAGGUUGAGUAAUAUUGGAGUACUUUGGUCGGUUAAUGGUUAUACCUUUUAUUAGUCAGAACGAGCUUAGUAGCUAGUUAGACGUGCUACUUAUCACAAAUUUGAUUCUGACCCAUACAGCUACAAAUUAUAAAAUUUAUUGUGGAUAAGAUGUGUGUGGCUCAGCUAUUAGAAUUAUAAGAAUCACUUACACAAUAAUCUACAAAAAAAAAAAACAAAAAAACGUAAGGCAGAAACAUUUGUUAUGGACAGCAAUGCCAAUACAUCUCAAAUUCUAAUAUUGAGAUGAUACCGACAAUACCGAAAAUCUCACUAGUGUACUACAUUUACAUAAUCAUUCAACAAAUUAACUCUAUCAGCCAUUUUAAAAAUAUUAUUUUUAGCAAAUUGGAAACAAAUUUCAUGUGCUUACAUGAGCUAAACACAAAAUUUAUAUUGGAUAAUGUGUGUGGCUCAGCUAUUAGAACUAUAAGAAUCUCCUACACAAUAAUCUGAAAAACAAACAAAAAAAAUACGUAAGGCGGAAACAUUUGUAAUGGACAGCAAUGCCAAUACAUCUCAAAUUCUAUUAUUGAGAUGAUACCGACAAUACCGAAAAUCUCACUAGUGUACUACAUAAUCAUUCAACAAAUUGGGCGAUUUGCUUCUGGUUUCGAAUCUUGCCUAACUCGUGUUUGUAGUCUUCUCGACUAGUUCGCGCAAGUCACCCCGUUACAGAUCUUAGUUCAAGAUGUUUUUAUGUUUUUCUCCUUUUUGGCAAGAUCCCGUGUGAAAAGGGGGCGAGGUACCUUAUGCGCUUUUUUCCCAUAGAGAAGGGGGAUCUACUUUUUCCUCUUCUUCUUUCCCUUGCUCGGAGACGCGGAUGUGGAAGUAAGCUCGUCUCGAGGCUUUUGACUUCCUUUGAUCUGACAUGCCGCUUUGGCUUGCUCGAGUUGGGUUGUUUUCUUUCCUUUUUUGGUCUAAGGGUAAACUACACGAUUUUGCUAUGAAAUCCCCACAGACGGCGCCAAAUUUUUUAGCUAAAAGUUCUCAUCCACUUUAUGAGCAUAAAUGAAAUAAAAUCAACGGAGGGCCAAUCAUAGCAGAUCGUAAUAAAUUAAAAGACCAAAUGACUAAAAUGUAAGAGGCAAUAGUUAUGGAUUAAGGGGAGGAGAGUAGAGAUCUUGUAUUAAUAAUACCGAUUUUGUCUGCCUCUCGAUGGAGAGGUUCAGAGCCUUACAAUGAUGUAUAUUCUCUUCUCUUAGAAAUCGAUGUGAAGAAGAAGAAGCAGCCCCCUUUUAGGGUUCUUUCUCUUAAUAUUUAUAGUUGUGGAUCUUGCCAGCUGGCAAUGACGGCCGUGGCUGCAUCGAAGGGACGUCCGUACACGAUGAGUAGGUCGUAGUCUCGCUAACUAAUUAGGUUGAGUAAUAUUGGAGUACUUUGGUCGGUUAAUGGUUAUACCUUUUAUUAGUCAGAACGAGCUUAGUAGCUAGUUAGACGUGCUACUUAUCACAAAUUUGAUUCUGACCCAUACAGCUACAAAUUAUAAAAUUUAUUGUGGAUAAGAUGUGUGUGGCUCAGCUAUUAGAAUUAUAAGAAUCACUUACACAAUAAUCUACAAAAAAAAAAAACAAAAAAACGUAAGGCAGAAACAUUUGUUAUGGACAGCAAUGCCAAUACAUCUCAAAUUCUAAUAUUGAGAUGAUACCGACAAUACCGAAAAUCUCACUAGUGUACUACAUUUACAUAAUCAUUCAACAAAUUAACUCUAUCAGCCAUUUUAAAAAUAUUAUUUUUAGCAAAUUGGAAACAAAUUUCAUGUGCUUACAUGAGCUAAACAUGCAGUGUGCAUUUGAAAGCUUAAAUGGACAAAGGCUAUAAAAUUGUCACCCCAAAAACAUACCUCCAUAAUCAAGAGUUACAAACCAAAAUAAUUAACAAGCACAUAGUAGAUCAAACCACAAAUUUAUACAAAAGCAACUGCAUUCUCUAUGAUAUAAGAAACCAAAAAUUUCAGCAAAUAACUCAAAAUAUACGUUUACACACUUCAAUCCCAAAUUUAUCAAUCCAUGCCAUUUAUAUGAGCAAAGAUCAGAAAAAAAAAAAAAGGAAGAACGGGGAGAGAGAACGGACCUUAAUAAUUGGUUCCUUUGUAUUAAACAAGAACUUGGUUAGAUCAAAUUGUCCAUGAAGUGAAUGGAAUGUGAAACCAACGCCGUCGACCUCGAGCCCAAGACUUCAACAAAACUAAUGGAGGAUUCUGGAACUGUUUUUCAACUGCGAUGUAGCUGCGUUUUUGGGCUACUUUGAGACAGUUUUCAGCUGGUUUUGUAGCAUAUUUUCAGUUGGUUUCACAGCUGAUUUUUUAGUUGAUUUUUUGGCAUGACAUUGGGAUUACUUUUCUAGAAUUUUCGGACUGGUUUUUUCAGCAAUUUCGCAGCUGGUUUGGCUGCUUUUUGGAGCUGUUUUCAGGUUUUUCCAAUGGAAGUUUUUGGAUGAGCUCCUUUAUAGCUGAAGUUUGGAUGGUUUUUUAUACAAGGGAAAGUGUAAGAGUGAGUUGUCCAGAAAAAGAAUCAGAAGUAGAGGGAAAAUAUGAGGCAUGUGUUGUGAGUCUCUCGUGGGUGAGUUGGGAAGGGGAUAAAGUGAGAGGGACAAGGAUAAGUGGGGGACAAAAGAGAAUGGGAAAUAAAGAGAAAAAGGGGUUAUGAAUGGAAAUGUGUGUUGUAAAGAG